rnacentral:misc_RNA from 1 species
GAAACUUUUCCGGACCCAGAAAAAAACUGAAACCUUUUAAACCUGUAUAAUCAUCAAAGAAUCCUGAAUUUACCUGUAUAAUCAUUAAGAAUCCAGCUUUGCAAUUCUCUUUCUGAAGAUUCUGUUCAUAGGCACAGAAUUCCUUGCAACUAUGGGGAAUGGAGAAUCAAACUGUGAUUAUCCUCGUGAUGAUAUUUUGCAGCAACCCUCUUCUUAUACAGGAAGUUCAAUGGAUGAUUACUAUCAACAAAGGCAGCAGCCCCACAACGGAUCACUUCUCAUGCAGGAAGUUCAAUUGAUCAUUAUUAUGAGCACAGGCAGCAACCACAACAACCCGCUUCUUUUGCGGGAAGUUCAAUGGAUAACUAUGAACAACAAAUGAAGCAUCCAACAUACAUAGCUGAUAAUUUCAAUUCUCUUGAUCAGGUUAUUUCUGCACUAAGAGAAGCUGGUCUUGAAUCAUCAAAUUUAAUACUUGGUAUCGACUACACAAAGAGUAAUGAGUGGACAGGCAGAUAUUCAUUUCAUCGUAGAAGCCUCCAUGCAAUUGGGAGCACACCAAACCCCUAUGAACAAGCAAUCUCUAUCAUUGGCGGUACUUUGUCACCCUUUGAUGAAGAUAAUUUGAUACCUUGUUUUGGAUUUGGAGAUGCAUCAACACAUGAUAAAUAUGUAUUCAGCUUUUAUCCUGAUCAUCGACAAUGCCAUGGUUUUGAGGAAGCUCUUUCCCGAUAUAGAGAGAUUGUUCCAUACCUAAAGUUGUCAGGUCCAACAUCC